UACAGAGGUCCCAAGCGUUGUUCGGAUUCACUGGGCGUAAAGGGUGCGCAGGUGGGUUUGCAAGUUCGAUGUGAAAGCCCUGGGCUUAACCCGGGAAUGGCAUUGGAUACUGCAGAUCUGGAGGAUCGGAGGGGGGACUGGAAUUCUUGGUGUAGCAGUGAAAUGCGUAGAUAUCAAGAGGAACACCAGUGGCGAAGGCGGCUUCUUGGGCCAUUACUGACGCUGAGGCGCGAAAGCCAGGGGAGCGAACGGG
rnacentral:rRNA from 1 species